UACGUAGGGUGCGAGCGUUGUCCGGAAUUAUUGGGCGUAAAGGGCUCGUAGGCGGUUUGUCGCGUCGGGAGUGAAAACCUUGGGCUUAACUCAGGGCUUGCUUUCGAUACGGGCAGACUAGAGGUAUGCAGGGGAGAACGGAAUUCCUGGUGUAGCGGUGAAAUGCGCAGAUAUCAGGAGGAACACCGGUGGCGAAGGCGGGUCUCUGGGCCGCAACUGACGCUGAGGAGCGAAAGCAUGGGGGAGCGAACAGG
rnacentral:rRNA from 1 species